rnacentral:lncRNA from 1 species
GCAGAAUAGGGAAGAUGUUCAAGGGAUGCCCCCAUCAUCCCUUGCUACAGGAACCCCAAUGGGGGGAUUUUCAAGGUAAUGGCUCCUUUUCUUUCUCCUUUUCUCUCCUGGGGACCAUACGCCAGGCACCUAUUACUGUCAGGCAGAAUAGGGAAGAUGUUCAAGGGAUGCCCCCAUCAUCCCUUGCUACAGGAACUCCAUUGGGGGGAUUUUCAAGGUAAUGGCUCCCUUUCUCUGGGACCAUACGCCAGGCACCUAUUCCUGCCAGGCAGAAUAGGGAAGAUGUUCAAGGGAUGCCCCCAUCAUCCCUUGCUACAGGAACCCCAAUGGGGGGAUUUUCAAGGUAAUGGCUCCCUUUCUCUGGGACCAUACGCCAGGCACCUAUUCCUGCCAGGCAGAAUAGGGAAGAUGUUCAAGGGAUGCCCCCAUCAUCCCUUGCUACAGGAACCCCAAUGGGGGGAUUUUCAAGGUAAUGGCUCCCUUUCUCUGGGACCAUACACCAGGCACCUAUUCCUGCCAGGCAGAAUAGGGAAGAUGUUCAAGGGAUGCCCCCAUCAUCCCUUGCUACAGGAACCCCAUUGGGGGGAUUUUCAAGGUAAUGGCUCCCUUUCUCUGGGACCAUACGCCAGGCACCUAUUCCUGCCAGGCAGAAUAGGGAAGAUGUUCAAGGGAUGCCCCCAUCAUCCCUUGCUACAGGAACCCCAAUGGGGGGAUUUUC